GUCAGCACCCCGCUCUAAAGAGAUGGGGCUAUGGGCGGAGCGCGGGCACUGCCAACAUUGCCUCUAACUUUAGAUAGUUGACCAGCCUGAGUCCGCAACGGACUACGUUAACUGAGUCAUGAUACCCACGAAUGCGACGCUAGUUUGUGGCUCUAUC
rnacentral:sRNA from 1 species